rfam:Caenorhabditis elegans Cosmid F36H1
GUCCGUCUACCCGUAGCUCCUAUCCAUGUUACUGGUCAAAAAGUGAACAUGGAAGCAGGUACAGGUGCACGGCGA